CAAUUCCCAACACUUUCA
rnacentral:sRNA from 1 species